rnacentral:rRNA from 1 species
GAUGAACGCUAGCGGGAGGCUUAACACAUGCAAGUCGAGCGGGAUUAGCAGCAAUGCUAUGAGAGCGGCGCACGGGUGCGUAACGCGUAUGCAACCUGCCUUAUACAGGGGAAUAGCCCAUGGAAACGUGGAUUAACGUCCCAUAGGAUCACUGGAUCGCAUGGUUUGGUGAUUAAAACUGAGGUGGUAUAAGAUGGGCAUGCGUCUGAUUAGGUAGUUGGUGAGGUAAUGGCUCACCAAGCCGACGAUCAGUAGGGGUUCUGAGAGGAUUACCCGCCACACUGGAACUGAGACACGGACCAGACUCAUACGGGAGGCAGCAGUGAGGAAUAUUGGUCAAUGGCCGAAAGGCUGAACCAGCCAUCCCGCGUGCAGGAUGACGGCCCUAUGGGUUGUAAACUGCUUUUGUACCUGAAGAAACCUGUUUACGAGUAGACAGUUGCCGGUAAGGUAUGAAUAAGCAUCGGCUAACUCCGUGCCAGCCGCCGCCGUAACAC